rnacentral:lncRNA from 1 species
GAUGUUUUCACGGGUUUAAUCUAACGGGUAACGUUAUUAUUCGAAAUAACGUUACAUUGUCAGGAACGAACAUUCAUGGCUCUUUUAAGGGAAAACGAAAUGCUUUUUUAUAAACAGAUAACGCUAUUCGUUAUUUAUUUACCUUUGUGAAAUUCCAUUGUAGUACUAUGUAUAUGGAUAAGAAUAAGUAUUAUUUUUAUUGCAU